GAAAUUGUUAUUCUAACACUGAAAAAUCUAUUGCAGACAAUUGAAGGUAUUCCAAAUGCAACAGCGACUCAGCUUGAUGUUUCAGAUAUCGGAAGUCUUCGUAAGUAUAUUUCUCAGGUUGAAGUUGUUAUAAGUUUACUUCCUCCUACUUUCCACAUCAUGAU